AGCGAACGCUGGCGGCAGGCUUAACACAUGCAAGUCGAACGAUCCUUCGGGAUAGUGGCGGACGGGUGAGUAACACGUGGGAACGUGCCCUUAGGUUCGGAACAACACAGGGAAGCUUGUGCUAAUACCGGAUAAGCCCUUACGGGGAAAGAUUUAUCGCCUUUGGAGCGGCCCGCGUCUGAUUAGCUUGUUGGUGAGGUAAAGGCUCACCAAGGCUACGAUCAGUAGCUGGUCUGAGAGGAUGACCAGCCACACUGGGACUGAGACACGGCCCAGACUCCUACGGGAGGCAGCAGGUGGGGAAUCUUGCGCAAGUGGGGGAAACCCUGACGCAGCCAUGGCCGCGUGGAUGAUGAAGGUCUUAGGAUUAUAAAUCUUUCAGCGGGACGAUAAUGACGGUACCGCAG
rnacentral:rRNA from 1 species